UAUACCGGAAACAACUGUGUUGCAUUCAAUGAUUAAUGCUUCACAAAUUACAAUAGUUGCUCUCAGGUUACGUUUAUGGAGAGAGACAUGAGGACGUUAGACUUCGAGCCUCAAAGUUUUGAUGCAAUUUCAUUUCGGGGAAGUCGUAUACGUGAAUCCUGAAGACUAUCUUCCAAUGUUUAGGAAAGUUUAUGAUUAGUUGAAACCUGUACUGGUGGUAGACUGGUAAUUCAGAAUGUAAUCCGGUUUGAAUCUGAUGGUGUGGUGACUCAAGAGUUCCAAGACUACAUCACCAAACGGGGAUAUAAUCUCAUCACAUACUCACAAUACAUCCAAGUAUAGCAGAGUAAUUCGAACACCGAUGUGAAUUCUGUAUACAAGACAGUGCUGAUACACUAGACAAAGUAAAGAAGAAUUGGGACAAAAUCAUAAAGG